UUCGAGCGUCAGUACAACACUCAAGCCUAGCUUGGUCUUGGGCCUCGCCGGAAACGGCGGGCCUUAAAAGUAGUGGCGGCGCCCGCUGGGCUCUAAGCGUAGUAAUACUCCUCGCUAUAGGGACCCGGUGGAUGCUGGCCAGCAACCCCCAACUUUCUAAGUUUGACCUCGGAUCAGGUAGGGAUACCCGCUGAACUUAA
rnacentral:misc_RNA from 1 species